CGGACGGGUGAGUAACGCGUGGGUAACCUGCCUUAUACAGGGGGAUAACAGUCAGAAAUGGCUGCUAAUACCGCAUAAGCGCACAGGGCUGCAUGGCUCAGUGUGAAAAACUCCGGUGGUAUAAGAUGGACCCGCGUUGGAUUAGCUAGUUGGUGGGGUAACGGCCCACCAAGGCGACGAUCCAUAGCCGGCCUGAGAGGGUGAACGGCCACAUUGGGACUGAGACACGGCCCAGACUCCUACGGGAGGCAGCAUG
rnacentral:rRNA from 1 species